GACGAACGCUGGCGGCGUGCUUAACACAUGCAAGUCGAACGGGAUUUAGUAGACAGAAGCCUCGGCUAAAGAUUACUAAUGAGAGUGGCGAACGGGUGAGUAACACGUGAGCAACCUGCCUAUGACAGUGGGAUAGCCUCGGGAAACCGGGAUUAAUACUGCAUAAAAUCGUAGAAACACAUGUUUUAACGGUCAAAGAUUUAUCGGUCAUAGAUGGGCUCGCGUCUGAUUAGCUAGUUGGUGAGAUAACAGCCCACCAAGGCGACGAUCAGUAGCCGGUCUGAGAGGAUGAACGGCCACAUUGGAACUGAGACACGGUCCAAACUCCUACGGGAGGCAGCAGUGGGGAAUAUUGCACAAUGGGGGAAACCCUGAUGCAGCGACGCCGCGUGAACGAAGAAGGUAUUCGUAUCGUAAAGUUCUGUCCUAUGGGAAGAUAAUGACAGUACCAUAGAAGAAAGCUCCGGCUAAAUACGUG
rnacentral:rRNA from 1 species